UGGUUUGCAUCAAGGUCAGGUGAAGUGGAAUGUUGUUUUGAGCUUUUCAGAGGAGCUGCAGCAGAAGGUGCUAACGAGGCCCCUUUCCAAAUGCAGAGGCCUGGUGGGAACUGAUAAUACACUUAAAGGUGCAAAGAUAUAAACCGGGGGAGGUCAAGCCAGGGGGAAAGAGCUUGCAUUCAAAUGGCGUCAGAUUCCCUGCAGGUAGAGCCUCUGGGACAGAGUUGGUUGAUGCUACUUUUCAGAGCUAAGAAAGCUGCGUCUGUGCUUCUGUGUUGAAUUCUGCAAGUCAGGGCUGCAAUAGCAGCUGUAGGAGGAGGGAUGAUGCGGAUAAUCUGGACGUUGGUCACCUUAACCUGGGCCCUCUGGCAAUGCACAGCUGCUGCAUCCGUAACGGACCAGAGGACUUGUUUGUCAAAAGCAGGAUUUGUUUGUACCACUGCCUCUAUAUGGACUGGAGCCAGCUUUUCAGAUGAAUGAUGUUGAAACCUUUUCUCCAUUUCAGUUUUGGCUGGUGUCUGAUGCCAGGCUCGGUAUCAGCCACGCACCAGGGAGCCACUCGCAGUCCCACGCUCCAGGGCAGCGAAGGGGCUCUGCCGCCCACCCGCCUUCCUCACGGUGCUCUGAGGAGACCCCCUGGCACAGGGGCCUGGUGUCUGCAGGUGUCCACUUGGUUUUGCUGGGCUAAAUGCUGGCGCGCUGGGCUGCAAUGCUGAACUUCAGCACUGGCUAAGCAGGUGCAAACCACUGGUUGUCACUCAGAGCCUUUGUUCUUACACAGUUCUCCUCUCUUCCGCUGCCUCUUGGGUCCAUGUCAGAGCUUUCCCUGAUGCUACCUGAACAACUUUGUCCCCAACACAGUGUUUCCUUCUGUCUUUUUCUCUCUCAAACACUUCCUCAAGCAAGUGGAGCCUGGACUCAGAGUGCAUCAACAACAAUUAGCUCAAGCAAAGGAGUGCCUGCACAUGGUAUUUUGGGUUUGGCCAGAAGCAGAGCCCUACAGGAUUAUUGCCUGCUGCCUCUGUCGGGUGAUGCCUGCCUCUGCAUUUGCAGCCCGGCUGUCUCUGAAGGUGGCAGGCUCAAGCUCAUGUCUUUAUUAGUGCAUAAAGCCAGGCUGACACGAGCCUUA